AGUUUGAUCAUGGCUCAGAUUGAACGCUGGCGGAAUGCUUUACACAUGCAAGUCGAGCGGCAGCGCGGGGGCAACCCUGGCGGCGAGCGGCGAACGGGUGAGUAAUGCAUCGGAACGUACCCAGUCGUGGGGAUAACGUGGCGAAAGUCACGCUAAUACCGCAUACGCCCUGAGGGGGAAAGCGGGGGAUUCUUCGGAACCUCGCGCAAUUGGAGCGGCCGAUGUCAGAUUAGCUUGUUGGUGAGGUAAAGGCUCACCAAGGCGACGAUCUGUAGCGGGUCUGAGAGGAUGAUCCGCCACACUGGGACUGAGACACGGCCCAGACUCCUACGGGAGGCAGCAGUGGGGAAUUUUGGACAAUGGGGGCAACCCUGAUCCAGCCAUGCCGCGUGAGUGAAGAAGGCCUUCGGGUUGUAAAGCUCUUUCAGCCGGGAAGAAAACGCACUCUCUAACAUAGGGUGUGGAUGACGGUACCGGACCAAGAAGCACCGGCUAACUACGUG
rnacentral:rRNA from 1 species